rnacentral:rRNA from 1 species
GUGUCAGCCGCCGCGGUAAUACGUAGGUGGCGAGCGUUGUCCGGAUUUAUUGGGCGUAAAGCGCGCGCAGGCGGGCUGGUUAGUCCGGGGUGAAAUCUCACGGCUCAACCGUGAGCGGUCCCCGGAUACUGCCAGUCUUGAGGGAUCUAGAGGAGAGCGGAAUUCCCGGUGUAGUGGUGGAAUGCGUAGAUAUCGGGAAGAACACCAGUGGCGAAAGCGGCUCUCUGGGGAUCACCUGACGCUGAGGCGCGAAAGCGUGGGGAGCGAACCGGAUUAGAUACCCGGGUAGUCC